CAAAGCAAGCACCAAAGACACCCCUUCAAAGGGACAACCGUCAUUGCUUAAGGACUGGCCUAAGAAAACAUAAAUUCCUAGUGAAACCUGGUGUGCCUGGAACCCAGAAGAGGAGACACUGAGAAUCUGAGGGAAACCUGCCACUCAAAACUAAUUGGGAAAGUGGAUCCUAAAAUGUAUGUGAAAUGUCAAGGGUCUCUGAAUAGUCGAGACAAUUUGGAAGAUGAACAGUUUAAGCUUCAAAACAUGCUGGAAAUCUACCGUGACCAAAACAGUGUGCUCUUGGGGUAAGGGCAUAGCUUCAGAAUGAGAAAAAAAACUGAGAGUUCUUUUUGUCACCUUCAGCUGCCAUGAGAGAAUAGCAUAAAGUAGGUCGCUGGAGCAUAUUUCUAAAAGUUCUGAGACUAGAAGUCCAGGAUCAAAGUGUUGCCUCCUGCUGUUCCUGGUGGAGGCUUGUCACCUGGCUCUGGGGUUGAAGAGGCUCUGCUUUUUUUUUUUUUUUUUUUUUUUUUUUUUUAAUAAAGUGAUAAAUUCCAUUACAAGGGCUCAUGGCCUAAUCCAUCACUAAUCACUGCCCCAAAUCCCAUUAAACACCAUCACAUUAAUGAUUCAGGCCUUAAUAUGUGAUAAGAGGGCUCAUAAAUUUCAAGACUACAAUAAGAGUCAUGAUAUAAACCAGUCACCUCUGGCCAAUUCAUUUUUGGCAAAAUGGCCAAGACCAUUCUGUGGGAAAAAUCAUGUUUUGGACAAGUGGUAUUGGCACAACUGGUAGCUACAUUUAAAAAGAUUCAGGCUAUACACAAAAUGGAUCAAAUACCGAAAUAUAAGAAUAAAAGGCAUAACUGAGAAAAGCCAAUGUUGCAUAUUUUCUCUCAUUUGUGGAUGUUAGCUUUGAAUAUGCAGAUAUAUAUAUUCAUUUGGAAUACUCAUCGAGGUCAGGGAAAUCAUAAGGGACUAUAGAGAAAAGAAGCCUUAAAGGGGGGGGGGGAGUUAGAAUGUACUGGGAUAAAGAAUUAAAAGGAAGUAGUGGAACAGAAAGACCUUGUAAAAAGUCACAUGGAAACUUCC
rnacentral:lncRNA from 1 species